rnacentral:rRNA from 1 species
GGAGGGGGUUUAGCGUUGUUCGGAAUUACUGGGCGUAAAGCGCACGUAGGCGGACUGGAAAGUUGGGGGUGAAAUCCCAGGGCUCAACCCUGGAACUGCCUCCAAAACUAUCAGUCUAGAGUUCGAGAGAGGUGAGUGGAAUUCCGAGUGUAGAGGUGAAAUUCGUAGAUAUUCGGAGGAACACCAGUGGCGAAGGCGGCUCACUGGCUCGAUACUGACGCUGAGGUGCGAAAGUGUGGGGAGCAAACAGGGAUUAGAUACCCUGGUAGUCCACACCGUAAACGAUGAAAUGCCCAAGUCGUCGGGUAGCAUGCUAUUCGGUGACACACCUAACGGAUUAAGCAUUCCGCCUGGGGAUACGGUCGCAAGAUUA